UUGACCUCGGAUCAGGUAGGAAGACCCGCUGA
rnacentral:rRNA from 1 species